GCAUACACAGAGUUUGGUAGGUCGGUUUCUUUCCUCUCGUUCUCUUCUGUCAGUCGCAACUCAAACAAUGGAGGGGCCAUCCAACCUCAAGCGCCCACGCCCGCCCGAGGAAUUCUCUGAUUCUCACAAAGAAGACAACCGCCCUAGAGAGAGGAAGGUGCGAUUUCCUAAGGGGAAGAAGGUGAAGCGGACAGAUGGGACUUCUCUGGUUAAAGAUGAAAGCGGAGAAAAUGUGAUUGGAUUGACCGACCCCAGAUUCGCUGCUAAAGAGAGAGCGAAUCGGCGUAACCAGAUAGAAGCUGAGCUUUUAAGCGAUGAGAACACAGGCAUUCUCGAUGAUAUCGCUGGGGCUGAAGAGGAGUAUGAGGAUGAUGGUGAAUUUGAGGAAGAUGGAGUUCAAAUUGAACCUUUCAACUUGAAGCUAGAGAGGGAAGAAGGUUAUUUUGAUUCUGAAGGGAACUAUGUUGAAUAUCGUAAUGAAAAUGACAUUAAGGAUGCAUGGCUGGAUAACAUUGAUGUUGAUGGACAAUAUGCGAGGAAAAAAAUUCCUCAAGAGACUAAAGAAGUGGAAGAGGUUAAAAGUUUUUCAUCGGCAGAGAUUGCAAAGAUCAAGAGGCGCAUAGCUAACUUACUUCGUCCUGGAGAAACGCACUAUAAAGGAGAUGAAAGGAAGCAAAGUAUUGAGUCCAAAACAAAAACGACAAGCUCAUAUGCAUUACACAAGAGGGAAGAGAGGAUUUUGUGGAUAUGCUGGCACAAAUUGGGUUCUCUCGUGCUCAUUAGAACUAUGGGUUCUAAUUCCAGUUAUUUAUUACUUCUCUCUUUAAAGUUUGUCUUGCAAGCUUUAAGAAGGUUGAAAGGGACUUCAGAUACUACAACCAAGCGUGGAAAAAUGUCAGCAGACGUAAAAGCUGUUUUUGACCAACUCACAGAGGAUUCUGUUAAGCUGAUGGACAACGGUGAUUACAAUGUGUAUCAUGACAAACGGGAAACAUUUGAGCGGGAAGCAGAGGGAUAUGAGCGCUUGGGCUCUGCAAGGGAAGGUUCGUCUGCAAAUGAUAGAAUUGGUUCUGUUGAUGCUCUGGAGACAGAUGGUAUUCUUUCCACUGGAGAUGAACUUGGAGUUGGCUCUGCAGUCUCAGCUUCAGCUCCUGAGGAUGCGGGAAUGCCUACUACCCAAGUUGCAUCCAAAGAUGAUGGUGAUACAUUCGAUAUGUUUGGGGAUGAUGAUGAAACCAAUGCCAGAACAAACCCUACUGCAAAUGACGUUAACUCAACUUCUGGGUCCACUCCUGGGGAAUCUUUAACUGGAACAGAGAACCCUUUAGUGUCUUAUAACUUGGAGCAAAAUGGUAGUCCUGUUUCUGAAGUAGGUGAAGGGCCUGAGACAGACUAUGUGUAUGAUGAAUCAUCUGGUUAUUAUUACAGUAGCAGUUUGGGUUAUUAUUAUGAUCCAGUAUCUCAACUCUUCUGCAGUGCAGCAACAGGAAGAUGGUAUUCAUACAAUGGACAAUCUGGUGCAUAUGACGAAAUUCCUGACUCUGAGUCUGCUCCAAACUAAACUGGUACUUGGAUUAUCAGAUGGUUGUAAUAUGUGACUUCGCACCAAUCUGCAGUAGGCCAAUAGCAUGUGUGACUAGAGCCAUCUAUUCGACACUGGCUGAUAUUUGGUUGUGGUUUUGUGUGGCAUACAUAUCUGUUCUAACUUCGCUGUUCAUGUAGAUAAUGCAUUCAUAGAUGGUGUCCUAAAAAUUUUGGACAGCGAAAGACGACCUAUUUGCUGUCACAAGUAAAUGCACGAGUUUUCAGAGCGAUUUCAAAGAGAAUGGGGAUAUGGAACACUUAAAUUGUUUAGCCUGCCUGGGCAAGCCUGUGGGCUUUCAUGCUGGACCUAGGUCGCUCAGGAUUGAAAUUUUUUAUGUAUAUAUACUGUAUUUAUUAAAUAAAUAAAUUUUCUUUAUUUA